CGGCCCCUCGUGCCCCAGGAAGAGCAGCGGGCAGCACCAGAAUGACAAAGGCAAGAACGUCCGCCAGAGGAACUCUUCCUGAGGCAGGUGCGGUGGGCGGGAGCUCCUCCUGAGCCAGGUGUGGUGGGUGGGUGGGCGGGAACUCCUGAGCCAGGUGUGGUGGGCGGGAUCUGCUAGCCAGGUGUGGGCUCCUGGGUCCCGCCUGUGGGUCGCUGGGAGGUGGGUCCAGUCUGAGCGCCCCUCCCUGUCCACAGGUGGCCCGAGGACGCUCCCUGCUCCACGUCUGCGCCGCCGCCGGAGUCCACUCCCAGUGCUUGCAAGAUUCCAAGUUCUCACCUCUUAAAGAAAACCCACCCCGUAGAUUCCCAUCAUACACUUCCUUCUUUUUUAAAAAAGUUGGGUUUUCUCCAUUCAGGAUUCUGUUCCUUAGGUUUUUUUCCUUCUGAAGUGUUUCACGAGAGCCCGGGAGCUGCUGCCCUGCGGCCCCGUCUGUGGCUUUCAGCCUCUGGGUCUGAGUCAUGGCCGGGUGGGCGGCACAGCCUUCUCCACUGGCCGGAGUCAGUGCCAGGUCCUUGCCCUUUGUGGAAAGUCACAGGUCACACGAGGGGCCCCGUGUCCUGCCUGUCUGAAGCCAAUGCUGUCUGGUUGCGCCAUUUUUGUGCUUUUAUGUUUAAUUUUAUGAGGGCCACGGGUCUGUGUUCGACUCAGCCUCAGGGACGACUCUGACCUCUUGGCCACAGAGGACUCACUUGCCCACACCGAGGGCGACCCCGUCACAGCCUCAAGUCACUCCCAAGCCCCCUCCUUGUCUGUGCAUCCGGGGGCAGCUCUGGAGGGGGUUUGCUGGGGAACUGGCGCCAUCGCCGGGACUCCAGAACCGCAGAAGCCUCCCCAGCUCACCCCUGGAGGACGGCCGGCUCUCUAUAGCACCAGGGCUCACGUGGGAACCCCCCUCCCACCCACCGCCACAAUAAAGAUCGCCCCCACCUCCACCCUC
rnacentral:lncRNA from 1 species